AGGGUGGAUUUGAAAAGAGACAUGAUCCUAUACACACUGAGUUGGAAUGUGGCAGCAGCUCCUCUGAUAUUACCGUUGUAGACAAGAGUACCAACACAGGCACUAUAAGAUGACAGACAAGAGUACUAUUACUGCUUUGUUAUGUUUAGCGACAUCAGGGAAAAGUACUAUACAACCGAGAAUGAUAACGAUGAAUUGUGUUCUGAAAGAGUGAAGGUGUUGAUGAAACUUUGUAAAUAUAGAUGGCAAAAAGCAUCUGUUGAACUUAAAUUAUGACUAAAAUUAUUAUUAUAGGCAUAUAAAAUAAUAUCUUGUGUUUGAUGUAAUAACAAUAGUCUCUAGAGUUUUUGUUUCAUCCCCUUUUGACUUCAUCACAAAAUAAAUGUGUGAUUUGACCUCUUUGGUGGUAGAAGUA